rnacentral:misc_RNA from 1 species
GAUGAAGAACGUAGUGAAAUGCGAUACUUGGUGUGAAUUGCAGAAUCCCGUGAACCAUCGAGUCUUUGAACGCAAGUUGCGCCCGAAGCCAUUAGGCCGAGGGCACGCCUGCCUGGGCGUCACACGUCGUUGCCCCCCCAUCUACUCCUUCGGGAUUGCGGGGGGCGGAUGAUGGCCUCUCGUGCGCCUCGUCGCGCGGUUGGCCUAAAUGCCAAGUCCUCGGCGACGCACGCCACGACAAUCGGUGGUUGCGAAACCUCGGUUGCCUGUCGUGUGCGGUCGUCGCGCAUCGAGGGCUCGAAAAAAUUGCCGGGCUUCGGCUCGACUUUCAACGCGACCCCAGGUCAGGCGGGGCUACCCGCUGAGUUUAAGCAUAUCAAUAAGCGGGAGGA